CCUACGGGAGGCAGCAGGGGGGAAUUUUCCGCAAUGGGCGAAAGCCUGACGGAGCAAUACCGCGUGAGGGAAGAAUGCCUACGGGUUGUAAACCUCUUUUAUCAGGGAGGAACAAAAUGACGUGUACCUGAUGAAUAAGCAUCGGCUAACUCUGUGCCAGCAGCCGCGGUAAGACAGAGGAUGCAAGUGUUAUCCGGAAUUACUGGGCGUAAAGCGUCUGUAGGUUGUUGAACAAGUCAACUGUUAAAUCUUGAAGCUCAACUUCAAAAUCGCAGUCGAAACUGUUUGACUAGAGUAUAGUAGAGGUAAAGGGAAUUUCCAGUGGAGCGGUGAAAUGCGUAGAUAUUGGAAAGAACACCGAUGGCGAAAGCACUUUACUGGGCUAUUACUGACACUCAGAGACGACAGCUAGGGUAGCAAAUGGGAUUAGAUACCCCAGUAGUCCUAGCCGUAAACUAUGGAUACUAGAUGUUGAACAGAUCGACCUGUGCAGUAUUAAAGCUAACGCGUUAAGUAUCCCGCCUGGGAAGUAUGCUCGCAAAGAGAGAANACAAGAAGUAGAGCGNGAGACGUGCCGACGACGACGACGAGGGAGGAGG
rnacentral:rRNA from 1 species